rnacentral:rRNA from 1 species
CUUGAAACACGGACCAAGGAGUCUAACAUGUGCGCGAGUCAUGGGGUGUUACGAAACCUAAAGGCGAAAUGAAAGUGAAGGCCCGCCUCUCGGUGGGCUGAGGUGGGAUCCGGCCUGUCUUCGGACGCAACAUAGGUCGGCGCACCACCGGCCCGUCUCGUCGGCUCUGUCCGUGAGGCGGCGCUAGAGCGUACACGUUGGGACCCGAAAGAUGGUGAACUAUGCCUGAGUAGGUCGAAGCCAGAGGAAACUCUGGUGGAGGACCGUAGCGAUUCUGACGUGCAAAUCGAUCGUCGAACUUGGGUAUAGGGGCGAAAGACUAAUCGAACCGUCUAGUAGCUGGUUCCCUCCGAAGUUUCCCUCAGGAUAGCUGGCGCUCGUCUAAAGCAGUUUUAUCCGGUAAAGCGAAUGACUAGAGGUCUUGGGAGCGAAACGUUCUCAACCUAUUCUCAAACUUUAAAUGGGUAAGAAGUCCGACUCGCUCGAGCUGGAGCCGGGCGACGAAUGCUUGAGUGCCCAGUGGGCCACUUUUGGUAAGCAGAACUGGCGCUGUGGGAUGAACCAAACGUCCGGUUAAGGCGCCCAACGAGGACGCUCAUCAGAUACCAUAAAAGGUGUUGGUUGAUAUAGACAGCAGGACGGUGGCCAUGGAAGUCGGAA